GACGAACGAGGGGGGAGGGAGGAACACAUGCAAGUCGAACGGAAAGGCCCUGCUUUUGUGGGGUGCUCGAGUGGCGAACGGGUGAGUAACACGUGAGUAACCUGCCCUUGACUUUGGGAUAACUUCAGGAAACUGGGGCUAAUACCGGAUAGGAGCUCCUGCUGCAUGGUGGGGGUUGGAAAGUUUCGGCGGUUGGGGAUGGACUCGCGGCUUAUCAGCUUGUUGGUGGGGUAGUGGCUUACCAAGGCCUUGACGGGUAGCCGGCCUGAGAGGGUGACCGGCCACAUUGGGACUGAGAUACGGCCCAGACUCCUACGGGAGGCAGCAGUGGGGAAUAUUGCACAAUGGGCGGAAGCCUGAUGCAGCAACGCCGCGUGCGGGAUGACGGCCUUCGGGUUGUAAACCGCUUUCGCCUGUGACGAAGCGUGAGUGACGGUAAUGGGUAAAGAAGCACCGGCUCCCUACGUC
rnacentral:rRNA from 1 species